AGGAAAUUGAUGAAGAUGUAAAAACUGCAUUUAAAAAGAAGAAAAAGGUGGAAGAACAUGACUGCAAUUUCGAUAAUCAUAAAGAGGCAUUUGGAAACAAUCAUAAUACCAUAGUCGUUAAGGGAUUCGAUUGUUCCCUUUCUAGGGAUGAUAUCAAGAGCUCACUGGAAAAACACUUUGGUUCAUGUGGAGAGAUCUCUAGGGUUUUUGUUCCGUUUCACUGCCAAACCGGUUCUCCCUUGGGAUAUGCUUUCAUUGAUCUGAGGAAUGACGCAAAGAAAGCGUUAACACUAGAUGGAAGUUAUUUGGGAAGUCUGAAGCUUGAGGUUGUCAUGACUAGCUCUAGAAAAGAAUUUCUUCAGUAUCCUAACUUAAUUAAGAGGGUGUGCACGUUGUUGCAUUAAUAUGAAAACGCACAACUACGACGAGUUCUUGAGAACUGGUGGUGGUCGUUUAACUCCCUGGACACCUGAGCUCCAGCAGGCGGUCGCUGAGCUUCUUAAGCGAAAACCUUUAAGAAGAAAAAAUGCGGAAAACCAGAG